UACGGAGGGUUCAAGCGUUAUCCGGAUUUAUUGGGUUUAAAGGGUGCGUAGGCGGAUUGAUAAGUUAGAGGUGAAAUGUCCGAGCUCAACUCGGGAACUGCCUCUAAUACUGUUGAUCUAGAGAGUAGAUGCGGUAGGCGGAAUGUAUGGUGUAGCGGUGAAAUGCUUAGAGAUCAUACAGAACACCGAUUGCGAAGGCAGCUUACCAAUCUAUAUCUGACGUUGAGGCACGAAAGCGUGGGGAGCAAACAGG
rnacentral:rRNA from 1 species